rnacentral:rRNA from 1 species
AAUAGAUACCCUGGUAGUCCUAGCCGUAAACGAUGAACACUAGGCGUAGUCGGUAUCGACCCCGGCUGUGCCGUAGCUAACGCAUUAAGUGUUCCGCCUGGGGAGUACGGCCGCAAGGCUAAAACUCAAAGGAAUUGACGGGGGGCCCGCACAAGCAGCGGAGCGUGUGGUUUAAUUCGUCGCAACGCGAAGAACCUUACCAGGGCUUGACAUGUGGCGGAAAACGGCGGAAACGUCGUCCUCCCGCAAGGGACCGUCAUGCAGGUGUUGCAUGGCUGUCGUCAGCUCGUGUCGUGAGAUGUUGGGUUAAGUCCCGCAACGAGCGCAACCCCCGUGGCAUGUUGUAUCUCUCAUGCCAGACUGCCGAGAGAAACUCGGAGGAAGGUGGGGAUGACGCCAAGUCAGCAUGGCCCUUACGUCCUGGGCUACACACACGCUACAAUGGCCGGUACAACGGGUUGCCAAACCGCGAGGUGGAGCUAAUCCCUUAAAGCCGGUCUCAGUUCGGAUUGCAGGCUGCAACUCGCCUGCA